UGGGGAAUAUUGGACAAUGGGCGCAAGCCUGAUCCAGCAAUGCCGCGUGAGUGAUGAAGGCCUUCGGGUUGUAAAGCUCUUUCGCACGCGACGAUGAUGACGGUAGCGUGAGAAGAAGCCCCGGCUAACUUCGUGCCAGCAGCCGCGGUAAUACGAAGGGGGCUAGCGUUGUUCGGAAUUACUGGGCGUAAAGGGCGCGUAGGCGGUGUGUCAAGUCAGGCGUGAAAGCCCCGGGCUCAACCUGGGAACCGCGCUUGAGACUGGCACGCUCGAGUUCGGGAGAGGGAUGGUGGAAUUCCCAGUGUAGAGGUGAAAUUCGUAGAUAUUGGGAAGAACACCGAUGGCGAAGGCAGCCAUCUGGACCGACACUGACGCUGAGGCGCGAAAGCGUGGGGAGCAAACAGGAUUAGAUACCCUGGUAGUCCACGCCGUAAACGAUGAGUGCUAGACGUCGGGGCCCUCAGGGCUUCAGUGUCGCAGCUAACG
rnacentral:rRNA from 1 species